GUUUCUUAUUUAUAUAGUUUAACAAUAAAAAAACAUUACUUUUUCAUUGUAAAAUUAAAUAUUCUAUUUUAUAA
rnacentral:tRNA from 1 species